ensembl:snRNA U4 U4 spliceosomal RNA
AGCUUUGCGCAGUGGCAGUCUCAUAGCCAAUGAGGUUUAUCUGAGGCGAGAUUAUUGCUAAUUGAAAACUUUUCCCAAAAAUUCUAAAUCUACUUUCUUUUGCAGUUGGGGUUGAGGUGAGUCUCCCAAGCUCAGGGGG